CCCAGAGCGCACGUGAGUGAGGCCUCUGCUGUGGGCUCUGGGCCGGAGGCGUCCUCUCUCUGUCAGUCCUCGGGAGGUGGAUCCUGGCUUUGAGCGAGGCUGUAUCUUUGGGAGUAUUUUUAUACAAUAUCUAAAAUCACGACAUGUUUGGAGUAUGUCCAGGUAGCUCGGCUGAAUGUUACACGAGAAAGGGAGAAUCCCGUGUUACCACCCUCCCUGGGGCAUCAUCAUUACGGACGUUACCUUCAGGGAAUCUGAGUGAAGGGCACAUGGAAUCCCUCUUCACUCUGUGGGCAUCCUCCUGUGAGCUGCACAUCCUCCUGUGAGUUGCGCAUCCUCCGAUGGAGUUUUGCUCUUGUCGCACAGGCUGG
rnacentral:lncRNA from 1 species